rnacentral:rRNA from 1 species
GUGUCAGCCGCCGCGGUAACACGGGGGGAGCAAGCGUUGUUCGGAAUCACUGGGCGUAAAGGGCGUGUAGGCGGUCGAGUAAGUGGAAUGUGAAAUACUCCGGCUCACCCGGAGCACUGCAUUCCAAACUGCUCGGCUUGAGUAUGGGAGAGGAUGAGGGAAUUCCUGGUGUAGCGGUGAAAUGCGUAGAUAUCAGGAGGAACACCGGUGGCGAAGGCGCUCAUCUGGCCCAAUACUGACGCUGAGGCGCGAAAGCUAGGGGAGCAAACGGGAUUAGAUACCCGCGUAGUCC